AUUGAACGCUGGCGGCAGGCCUAACACAUGCAAGUCGAACGGUAGCACAGAGAGCUUGCUCUCGGGUGACGAGUGGCGGACGGGUGAGUAAUGUCUGGGGAUCUGCCUGAUAGAGGGGGAUAACCACUGGAAACGGUGGCUAAUACCGCAUAACGUCGCAAGACCAAAGAGGGGGACCUUCGGGCCUCUCACUAUCGGAUGAACCCAGAUGGGAUUAGCUAGUAGGCGGGGUAACGGCCCACCUAGGCGACGAUCCCUAGCUGGUCUGAGAGGAUGACCAGCCACACUGGAACUGAGACACGGUCCAGACUCCUACGGGAGGCAGCAGUGGGGAAUAUUGCACAAUGGGCGCAAGCCUGAUGCAGCCAUGCCGCGUGUAUGAAGAAGGCCUUCGGGUUGUAAAGUACUUUCAGCGGGGAGGAAGGCCAUAAGGUUAAUAACCUUGUCGAUUGACGUUACCCGCAGAAGAAGCACCGGCUAACUCCGUGCCAGCAGCCGCAGUAA
rnacentral:rRNA from 1 species